rnacentral:rRNA from 1 species
GACGAACGCUGGCGGCGUGCCUAAUACAUGCAAGUCGAACGAGAGCAACCGGUGCUUGCACUGGUCAAUCUAGUGGCGAACGGGUGAGUAACACGUGGGUAACCUGCCCAUCAGAGGGGGAUAACAUCCGGAAACGGAUGCUAAAACCGCAUAGGUCUUCGAACCGCAUGGUUCGAAGAGGAAAAGAGGCGCAAGCUUCUGCUGAUGGAUGGACCCGCGGUGCAUUAGCUAGUUGGUGAGGUAACGGCUCACCAAGGCCGUGAUGCAUAGCCGACCUGAGAGGGUGAUCGGCCACAUUGGGACUGAGACACGGCCCAAACUCCUACGGGAGGCAGCAGUAGGGAAUCUUCCGCAAUGGACGAAAGUCUGACGGAGCAACGCCGCGUGAGUGAAGAAGGUUUUCGGAUCGUAAAACUCUGUUGUUAGAGAAGAACAAGUGCUAGAGUAACUGUUAGCGCCUUGACGGUAUCUAACCAGAAAGCCACGGCUAACUACGUG